GAAAACUUUAAAGCUACCGUUGGAAAAAAAAUGGACGUUCGAGAUUCGUCCACGUCAUCACGAGUAAAAAAUUUACUCACGAAAAAUUUACUCACUAUCCGUGAGUAAAUUUUUUACUCGUGAUGACGUGGACGAAUCUCGGAUGUCUAUUUUUGAUUAAACGGCUAUUUUCUAGUUC
rnacentral:pre_miRNA from 2 species